AGCUGGUCUGAGAGGAUGACCAGCCACACUGGAACUGAGACACGGUCCAGACUCCUACGGGAGGCAGCAGUGGGGAAUAUUGGACAAUGGGGGCAACCCUGAUCCAGCAAUGCCGCGUGUGUGAAGAAGGCCUGAGGGUUGUAAAGCACUUUCAGUGGGGAGGAGGAUGCUUCGGUUAAGAGCUAGAGUAUUGGACGUUACCCACAGAAGAAGCACCGGCUAACUCCGUGCCAGYAGCCGCGGUAAUACGGAGGGUGCGAGCGUUAAUCGGAAUUACUGGGCGUAAAGGGUUCGUAGGKGUUAAUUAAGUKRUCUGKAAAUCYCCGGGCCCCCCUGGGCAGGUCAGA
rnacentral:rRNA from 1 species